rnacentral:rRNA from 1 species
CGCCUACGGGGGGCAGCAGUUAGGAAUAUUCGUCAAUGGGGGAAACCCUGAACGAGCAAUGCCGCGUGAACGAUGACGGUCCUCUGGAUUGUAAAGUUCUGUUGUUUGGGAAGAACGGCUCUAAUAGGAAAUGAUUAGAGAUUGACUGUACCAUUCAAGAAAGCCACGGCUAACUACGUGCCAGCAGCCGCGGUAAUACGUAGGUGGCAAGCGUUAUCCGGAAUUAUUGGGCGUAAAGAGCGCGCAGGUGGUUAAUUAAGUCUGAUGUGAAAGCCCACGGCUUAACCGUGGAGGGUCAUUGGAAA